CUAGCUGCCACAGAUCUGAUCCCUCCGACGAGGAUGUGUUCGCCUCCAUUAUCCGGCCAUGGCCGCUCGCUGAAGGAGGCCACCGCCGAGGCCAAUAGUCUUACGCACGUACGGAACCAAAGCCCGGCGUCGCCGCCACCAUGGCUGAGGAUGGAGCCAAACUCUCCGCGUCACAGGUCGUCCUCUCCCUCCUAUAUCACUGGAUGACAUCUUUGCCCCGCCCAGUCGGCCGGUCUACAAGACCACCAGGUCAUAACCUGGAUCAUGCAGGAGAGCAGCACUCCUCCGCGGUGAUGCACUGCCUGGAUGCAGCGAAUCUCUGAGGGAAUGCACCCAUGCCAGAUUUCAGCCAUUGGUUCAUCCAUCACUUUUUGGCUACAUCGGAUCAGCCGAGCAAAUGUAAAUCUCAGAAUUUCUGUAGCACUCUUGAAGACAUGCAUGUAAUGACAGAGCAUGAGGACAACACUGCAGAGAGAUGUGGCUGCCAUUUGUUAUUAUAUACACCGGAGAAGGCAAUAAGGUGCUAAAUAAAGUUCUUGUCUAAGAGUUUAUUUUGUUAUAUGUGAUUUACCAAAUUGCUCAUGUUACUUGCUGCACAUAUGUGUUGACCAUAACUGAUUUUUUUUUUGCUUUCCCUAUUAUCCUAGGUGUCCCAAAUAUUGUCGGCAUUGUUGUAUGUGGGCUGUCGCAAUGUCGUUGAAAAUGCAUAACAUUGUCCUACACUACUAUUUUGUUAUACUUGAUUCCUGAAAAUGUUCUUACUCUAAUUUUGUGGUACUUUGUGUUUUAUGGGUAUACUCGACUGGUUGUUAACUCAUCCCUUGUGUAAGUAGUGCACGCUCCUGGUAAACUGAAUAAUGUAAUUGAGUAAUUGAGUUAGUGGUUCCAUGAGUGCUUGCAUGAGUACUCAUGAAAUCCACAGGUCAAAACAUUAGCUA